rnacentral:rRNA from 1 species
CCUACGGGGGGCAGCAGUGGGGAAUAUUGGACAAUGGGGGGAACCCUGAUCCAGCCAUGCCGCGUGUGUGAAGAAGGCCCUCGGGUUGUAAAGCACUUUCAGUGAGGAAGAACGCCUGGUGGUUAAUACCCAUCAGGAAAGACAUCACUCACAGAAGAAGCACCUGCUAACUCCGUGCCAGCAGCCGCGGUAAUACGGAGGGUGCGAGCGUUAAUCGGAAUUACUGGGCGUAAAGCGCGCGUAGGUGGCUUGAUAAGCCGGUUGUGAAAGCCCCGGGCUCAACCUGGGAACGGCAUCCGGAACUGUCAAGCUAGAGUGCAGGAGAGGAAGGUAGAAUUCCCGGUGUAGCGGUGAAAUGCGUAGAGAUCGGGAGGAAUACCAGUGGCGAAGGCGGCCUUCUGGACUGACACUGACACUGAGGUGCGAAAGCGUGGGUAGCAAACAGGAUUAGAUACCCGAGUAGUC